rnacentral:misc_RNA from 1 species
AAAGUCGUAACAAGGUAACCGUAGGUGAACCUGCGGUUGGAUCAUUAACAAUUUUUGUGACCGUGUCUUGACGAUUGCUGCAAAGUAAUGGCCAUGGCGCGGGAUCAAUCAACACCCUUGUGAACCAUUGAAAUGUCUAUUGGCGGUCGUGAUUCGUUCCAUCAUUGAGGAAGCUGACUUUUACGAGUCACUUUCUUUUACCUCUGCUAGGAGAGGCUCUGGUGGCUGAGAACUCUAUUAGAGUGAUCUGAUCGCGGCUCGCCAGCCUAGAUGAAACACCAUAUUUUUUCUAAUUCUGUCUUAAUAAACCUCUCUUAAUUGAGAAACAAUGAGAAACAACUUUAGACAACGGAUCUCUUGGCUCUC